rnacentral:rRNA from 1 species
UACGAAGGGGGCGAGCGUUAUUCGGAAUCACUGGGCGUAAAGCGUGCGUAGGCUGUUUUGUAAGUUGGGAGUGAAAGCCCAGGGCUCAACCCUGGAAUUGCUCUCAAAACUACAAGACUCGGAUUUGGGAGAGGAUAGCGGAAUUGUCAGUGUAGCAGUGAAAUGCGUAGAUAUUGACAGGAACACCAGUGGCGCAAGCGGCUAUCUGGACCAACAUCGACGCUGAGGCACGAAAGCGUGGGGAUCAAACAGG